rnacentral:lncRNA from 1 species
CCUGCAUUGUGAAAACAUUUACACAUUUGGAUUAGCUCUGCUGGAGAGCAACAGGCAAAAUUCAAAGAUGUCAUGUAAACUACUAGGUUAGCCCAAAACAAACCAAUCAGGCAAUCAAGCAAGCCAUCAGUUUCUUGCACCAGAUGUAAGAAUGUUGAGACAUAUGGAAAACAAAAUCAGCUACAGCAAGAAUGAGCUACCAGUCAUAAUUUUGUCACUAUGGAUGCAACUGCAGAGAAACACAUGCACGUUCUGACAGCUGCUCUGUUCCACAAGGAUUAAAACAGCAGGAAGACUGGCAAUGUGAAAGAGAGAAAACAGAG